rnacentral:tRNA from 1 species
GGACGAUUAGCUCAGUUGGUUAGAGCGCCUCGUUUACACCGAGGAGGUCGGAGGUUCGAGUCCUCCAUUGUCCACCA